AUUGAACGCUGGCGGCAGGCCUAACACAUGCAAGUCGAACGGUAACAGAAAGCAGCUUGCUGCUUUGCUGACGAGUGGCGGACGGGUGAGUAAUAUCUGGGAAACUGCCUGAUGGAGGGGGAUAACUACUGGAAACGGUAGCUAAUACCGCAUAACGUCGCAAGACCAAAGAGGGGGACCUUCGGGCCUCUUGCCAUCGGAUGUGCCCAGAUGGGAUUAGCUUGUUGGUGGGGUAACGGCUCACCAAGGCGACGAUCCCUAGCUGGUCUGAGAGGAUGACCAGCCACACUGGAACUGAGACACGGUCCAGACUCCUACGGGAGGCAGCAGUGGGGAAUAUUGCACAAUGGGCGCAAGCCUGAUGCAGCCAUGCCGCGUGUAUGAAGAAGGCCUUCGGGUUGUAAAGUACUUUCAGCGGGGAGGAAGGGAGUAAAGUUAAUACCUUUGCUCAUUGACGUUACCCGCAGAAGAAGCACCGGCUAACUCCGUG
rnacentral:rRNA from 1 species